AUCACCCAGUGAGAAGCUUCCUUUCAGCCAUGAGUCUGCACUGGAGAGUGGAGCUCUGACUACAACCGCAGGAAAAGCAGGGACCCGGACAGAGGUGGCCUAGCAUGCAGAAGCUUUGAGCAGGAAGAGGUGACUGCUUCCUACAGCAACUGGAGUUCUGAGCCCUCUUCAUGGUGCUGGAAUAUCAAGGAGCAUCUAACAAACCCAAGCCCCUUACCUGGUACAACGGUGACAACUUAGAUCACCCUGUGGAAAGAUAAAGAUGUUCCAGGUGAAUCACAAACAGCAUCUAUGUGAUGGACAAAUCUUUAAAUACAGGCCACCAAACAGCCAUCGGGCAGUAAAAGCUUUCAUAACCUGAAGGAGAACAUUUCAAUAAUGCUGAAGUGGGAAUAAUGAAGCCCCUACAGGCAAUCUGUUCGCUCCAGUGGUCCUGCUGCAGAAAAAAUCCUGUUC